rnacentral:rRNA from 1 species
UGCGUAGGUGGGUCUGUAAGUCAGUGGUGAAAUCUCCGGGCUUAACCCGGAAACUGCCAUUGAUACUAUAGGUCUUGAAUACUCUGGAGGUAAGCGGAAUAUGUCAUGUAGCGGUGAAAUGCUUAGAUAUGACAUAGAACACCAAUUGCGAAGGCAGCUUACUACGGGGUCAUUGACACUGAGGCAAGACGUGGGGAGUCGAC